UACGGGGGGAGCAAGCGUUGUUCGGAUUUACUGGGCGUAAAGGGCGCGUAGGCGGUCAGCACAAGUCAGUUGUGAGAUCUCCAGGCUUAACUCGGAAAGGUCAACUGAUACUGUGCGACUAGAGUGCAGAAGGGGCAACUGGAAUUCUCGGUGUAGCGGUGAAAUGCGUAGAUAUCGGGAGGAACACCAGUGGCGAAGGCGACUACCUGGCCUGUUCUUGACGCUGAGGCGCGAAAGCUAGGGGAGCAAACGGG
rnacentral:rRNA from 1 species